GGGGGGAGCGAUCCAGCAGCGGUUCGGCUUCUCCUGUCUCUCAGGGAGUCUGCAUUCUGCUCCGGGAGAAGGAAAGAGAUGAUCGACUGAUGAGGUACCAGCCGAUCGAUGCUACAACAUAUAGGUUAGCUUCCGCUAGAAGCACAGAAGUCCUUACACUGUAGCAGGGGGCUCAGCCUGCUCAUUUAGAUGGAGCCGUGAGCGGCCUGCUUACAGAACUCUUGAGGCUCUUGGCUGUUUAUUCUGAUUCGGUCUUGAGCUGAGAGUCAAAGGGAGAGAGCAUUUUCUUCUGAAUGUCUUUUCUUCCUGCCAAUCAACACUCAUUUGGAAGGCUGACCUUUGACUGUACUGGCAUGAUGUCACUGUCGUCAUGAACACACAGACCGUGUCUACCCUGCUUAUAAUCUAGGCAGACAAGGAACACAUGCAGAAAACAACACCUGAUGUUGCAAGACAGAUGAUAUGUAGCAACCUUCACUCAAUGUCACAGGGCAAGGUUGGCACACUCAGCCCCAAUAAAAAAUUCAGAACAUUGUCUAGGCAUGACAAAAGAGAGCUGGCCGUGCCUAACAUACCCUAUGCUAUUUCCUGCACUGGGUGAUCAAAGUAAUAGAGCAGGCAAGUACCCCGCAAAGGUAUGAAAACACUGAAUGCUGCUUCCUCCCCACGGUAGGGCAGUGUGUUAUAAACUGUUCAUGAAACUCUGAGGACAGGCACCGGUCAUGGUGUUCCCAGCAUCUUAGUGCGAAAGUGGCUGUGAAAGAGAGGGUCCUCCUGAGGGGAUCCCCUCCGCCAUCUUAGCUGCUGCUGGGCUUUUCCUUUGCUACCAUCUGAGGCUCAUGUUUCCCAUGUCCAAGAAGAGAGCAAUGGAAGCUGGAACAUAUGGGACACACGUGGCAUCCCACUGCGAUGGAAAGAAAAAUGUGUCCCAGCCCAGGCUUUUGCAUGCAGUAGCUCUGUGCCUUUUCUGGGUUAGUCUCUGUGAUUGUCCAUCUCUUAAUGAUGGCUGAAAGGAUUAGAGGUGACGUAACACGCCUACUAUAUAUUCGCUGACUGGCAGCAUCAUGAAGCGCUGGAAGGCCACCCGACACAUUUCUUCAGAUCACAAUAAAAAAAUAACUGACCUUAACCAGGAUGCUCUUGGUUAAAAUGUUCCGGUCACAUCUACUUUUGAGCACUGCCCUCUUAGGAUUCUUCUUUGCCUGCAUCAAAGUCUCAUGAAUUGGUAAUGCUGACUUCCUCUGGUUCAAGAUAAGUCUUCUGUCUGUAUUUCAAGUUUAGAAGAUCCUUGAAGUAAGUAGACAUCAUGCAAUUUGCAGGAAAAUGGAUAGAACUAGGAAAGAUCAUCCUGAGUGAGGUAAACCAGACCCAGAGAGACACACAUGGUAUCUACUGACUUAUAAAUGGCCAUUAACCAUAAUGUACAGGCUAAACAUACUAGUUAACCUAAGGACCCCAAGAAGCCAAGGAGGACCCAAGGGAGGAUCCCUAAAUCUCACUCAAAAGAGAAAAUAAAAUAGACAUCUGAGGUAGAUAGAGGGAAGGAGCUGGGCGAGCAAGGGGCUGGGGAGGACCUGGAGAGAGAGCAGAAAUAGGUGACGACAUCUACAGUACAGGGGAGACCCCUGGACGUCUCUGACCUUAGCUGAGAUUCCUAACAGUGGGGAAGGGAACCUGAAGCUGCCGCCUAUUAUAGCCAGGUGGUACUUCCAGUGGUGAGAGGGGGACACUAACUCGCCCAUAAAACCUUCCACCCAAAAUUUGUCUUGCCUGCAAGAAAUGUAGGGAUAAAGAUGGAGCAGAGAUUGAGGGAAUGGCAAACCAAUGACUUACCCAACUUAAGACCCACCCCAUGGGAGAGAGCCAACCCUUGGCACUAUCAAUGAUACUCUGCUGUGCUUGUAGACAGGAGACUAGCAUAACUGUCUUCUGAGAGACUUCAUCCAACAGCUGAUGGAGACAGAUGCAGAAACCCACAGCCAAGCAAUAUAAGCCAAGCCAGGUGAGUUUUGAAGAAGGAGAGGAAAAAUUGAGGGAGCUGGAAGGGUCAAGGAUACCACAAAAAAGACCUACAAAGUCAACUAACCUGGGCCCAUGGGGGCUCACAGAGACUGAACCACCAACCAAAGAGCUUGUGUGGACCGGACCUAGACCUCCUAUACAUAUGUAACAGAUGUGCAACGUGGUCAUCAUGUUUGUCCUCUAAUAAUGGGAGUAGGGGCUGUCUCUGACUCUGUUGCUUGCCACUGGAUCAUUUUUCCCCAGAUGCACUGCCGUGUCUGACCUCAGUGGGAGAGGAUGCGCUUAGUCCAGCUAUGACCUGAGGUGCCAUGGUGGGUUGGUACCUCCCAAGACUCCCUCCUUCACUGAGAAGAAGAGAGAGGAGUGGGAGAGAGGGACAUGAGGG